rnacentral:rRNA from 1 species
CUUGCUAAGUUUGAUGGCGACCGGCGCACGGGUGAGUAACACGUAUCCAACCUGCCGAUGACUCGGGGAUAGCCUUUCGAAAGAAAGAUUAAUACCCGAUGGCAUAGUUCUUCCGCAUGGUAGAACUAUUAAAGAAUUUCGGUCAUCGAUGGGGAUGCGUUCCAUUAGGUUGUUGGCGGGGUAACGGCCCACCAAGCCUUCGAUGGAUAGGGGUUCUGAGAGGAAGGUCCCCCACAUUGGAACUGAGACACGGUCCAAACUCCUACGGGAGGCAGCAG